rnacentral:tmRNA from 1 species
GGGGGUGACCCGGUUUCGACAGGGGAACUGAAGGUGAUGUUGCGUGUCGAGGUGCCGUUGGCCUCGUAAAUAAACGGCAAAGCCAUUAACUGGCAACAACAGCGACUCGUUCGCCCUUGCUGCUUAAUUGACAGCACAGUGACCGUCUAGCCCGGCCUUUGGCGCGGCGCGAACUGAACCAAAAGAAGGCUAGCCCCGGCGAGAUUCCAUAGCCGCAGGCGAAAACAAAUGGAACUAAGGUCAGGUGGAACCCGCCUGCUGGUGGCACCCGACCCGACAAUCAAACAGCAGGCUACACACGUAGACGCACGCUGGAAGGACCUUUGGACGGCGGUUCGACUCCGCCCACCUCCACCA